AUGGAGGCAGCAGUGGGGAAUAUUGGGCAAUGGGGGCGACCCUGACCCAGCCAUGCCGCGUGCAGGAAGAAGGCGCUACGCGUUGUGAACUGCUUUUUUUCGGGAAGAAAAAGCUUCUGCGGAAGUCACUGACGGUACCGAAGGAAUCAGCACCGGCUAACUCCGUGCCAGCAGCCGCGGUAAUACGGAGGGUGCAAGCGUUGUCCGGAUUCAUUGGGUUUAAAGGGUGCGCAGGCGGGACAUUAAGUCAGGGGUGAAAGACGGUUGCUCAACAAUCGCAGUGCCUUUGAUACUGGUGUUCUUGGGUAACCUUGAGGUAGGCGGAAUGGGUGGUGUAGCGGUGAAAUGCAUAGAUACCACCCAGAACUCCGAUUGCGAAGGCAGCCUACUGGAGGUCAACCGACGCUCAGGCACGAAAGCGUGGGGAUCAAACAGGAUUAGAUACCCCGGUAGG
rnacentral:rRNA from 1 species